UACGGGGGGGGCAAGCGUUGUUCGGAAUUACUGGGCGUAAAGGGCUCGUAGGCGGCCAACUAAGUCAGACGUGAAAUCCCUCGGCUUAACCGGGGAACUGCGUCUGAUACUGGAUGGCUUGAGUUCGGGAGAGGGAUGCGGAAUUCCAGGUGUAGCGGUGAAAUGCGCAGAUAUCAGGAGGAACACCAAUUGCGAAGGCAGCUCGCUGGGACGUUACUGACGCUGAGACGCGAAAGCGUGGGGAGCAAACAGG
rnacentral:rRNA from 1 species